GUCUCAAAGAUUAAGCCAUGCAUGUCUAAGUAUAAAUCAUUUAUACAGGUGAAACUGCGAAUGGCUCAUUAAAUCAGUUAUAGUUUAUUUGAUAGUACAAUUACUACUUGGAUAACCGUGGUAAUUCUAGAGCUAAUACAUGCUAAAAGUCUCGACUUCUGGAAGGGACGUAUUUAUUAGAUAAAAACCAACAA
rnacentral:rRNA from 1 species